ensembl:snRNA U1 U1 spliceosomal RNA
AUUCUUACCUGGCAGGGGAGACACCAUGAUCAUGAAGGUGGUUUUCCCAGGGUAAAGCUCAUCCAUUGCACUCCGGGUGUGCUGACCCCUGUGAUUUCCCCAAAUAUGGGAAACUCAAAUGCAUAAUUUGUGGUAGUGGGGGAUUGCAAUCAUACUUUCCCCUG